rnacentral:rRNA from 1 species
AUUAGAUAAAAAACCAAUGCCCUUCGGGGCUCCUUGGUGAUUCAUAGUAACUUAUCGAAUCGCAUGGCCUUGCGCUGGCGAUGGUUCAUUCAAAUUUCUGCCCUAUCAACUUUCGAUGGUAGGAUAGUGGCCUACCAUGGUGGCAACGGGUAACGGGGAAUUAGGGUUCGAUUCCGGAGAGGGAGCCUGAGAAACGGCUACCACAUCUAAGGAAGGCAGCAGGCGCGCAAAUUACCCAAUCCCGAUACGGGGAGGUAGUGACAAUAAAUACUGAUACAGGGCUCUUUCGGGUCUUGUAAUUGGAAUGAGUACAAUUUAAACACCUUAACGAGGAGCAAUUGGAGGGCAAGUCUGGUGCCAGCAGCCGCGGUAAUUCCAGCUCCAAUAGCGUAUACUAAAGUUGUUGCAGUUAAAAAGCUCGUAGUUGAACCUUGGGUCUGGCUGGCCGGUCCGCCUCACCGCGUGCACUGGUCCGGCUGGAUCUUUCCUUCUGGGGAGCCCCAUGGCCUUUAUUGGC